AGCGGGCACUUGGGGGGCGGCGACGCUGGGACAAAAUGGCGGAGGAAACGGGUAGCAACGGGGACGCUUUAGUUUUGCCGGUGGGAAAGGAGGCAGUGGAUCGACUCAUCAAAGAAAACAGCUACAUCUUCACUGACACCCAGUGCAAAGUGUGUAGUGCAGUGCUGAUCUCUGAGUCACAGAAGCUUGCUCACUACCAGAGUAAGAAACAUGCAAACAAAGUCCGUCGAUACAUGUCUAUCCAUGGUGAGGAAGAACUCAGCCAAAGCAAGAAAAUAAAACUGGACACAAAGCAGGAUAGCAAUGGAGAAGACAGGAACAAAUGCUGUCCCAUCUGUAAUAUGACCUUCUCCUCACCUGUUGUGGCUAAUUCCCACUACCUAGGCAAGACCCAUACCAAGAAUCUGAAGCUGAAGUCUCUGAAAGAAGAAGCUGUAAUACCUGCUGAGAACCAACCCACUGAUUCACCUCCAACUACUGUGUCCUCUAAUGAAGAGAACCAAAACACUUCUGACCCGGACAAAUUCUGCAGUCUCUGCCAUGCCACAUUCAAUAACCCACUGAUGGCAAAACAGCACUAUGUAGGCAAGAAACACAAAAAGCAGGAGACCAAACUAAAGCUAAUGGCACACUACGGGAGAACACCUGAGGAACCUGCUGCUUCAACAGCUGGGAAGGGUUAUCCCUGCAAUACCUGCAACAUAGUACUGAACUCUAUUGAGCAAUACCAAGCUCACAUCAGUGGUUUCAAACACAAGAACCAAAUACCAGGAGCAGUACCCAUCACAGGACGGUACCAAAAGCAGCCAUACACACGAGAGGAGACAACAGGCCCUGAUGGUUACAGCUGCUUUAGUCAGGACUUCUAGAGCAAGCUCCAUUGGAUUUGGAUUGCAAGUGGCCCAAAAGUGAACAUCUUUUAUCAGCCCACUACGGUUUUGUUGUUUCUCUGGCUAAAUGAAGCCCUCCUGUCCUGCUGUGCACAGGUUUAGCUGAUUUCAGAACUAACAAUUGGCUAAAGGAUCUAGAAGGAACAGAUUUACUAGUAGGCAUUCGCACAGUCCUUUAGAAUAGUUUUCAUUGUGUAAUCUCUUGCAGUAAUGGCUGCGGGGGGGGGGGGGUCUUUUUUCUGGCAAGAGGGUCUGCCAGUGUUUUCUCAACCCCAUUUUUGCUUUCUGCUCAGAAGAUGCAGAAUGAAGUUCUCCACCCAGUACCAGCCAGAGAAGAUUGACCUUUGGAAGAAAGCUUAUAAUUUUUGGUAACUCAGUGCUUAAGAAUGUGAUUGGUAUGGCCAUAAUUGGACAGACUGGCUACUCUCCAGAAUGGAGAGUUACAUCGAACUUUGAUUGGGUUUGUGUGCAAAGUUUCUUAGGCCAUUGAUUGCCAUUUGUUCCCCUCCCCCCCCCUUUUUUUCCCCCCCUUUUCUGUAAUUCUGCAGAUGCUGGUUCUGGGGCAUCUGAUGAUCUGUUCAGUAAAGUUGGUUCAGUUAGUGGUAUGCAUGAUCUGCUUCCAUAAGGCAAGGAACAGAGGGGGUUAGGUGUGUUUCCAGAAAAAAAUGUUCUCUUUUCUGUCCUGAUACUUUUUUGGAAGCUGUAACAUUUUUAACCAAACUGUGCAAAAGUUUCCAUUGUGUUACAAUGUUUAUUGGAAAUUUUAUAUGUGGCAGUCGCUUUUAAAAUUGCUCUUUCUCAAAAUCUUCAACCAGUUGAGUGAACCCUGGGGAGGGCAUUCCCGUUGGAAGAAACCCGCACUUCUUCCACCAGUGGUUUCAGGUCCCCGCCCCCUUUGGAUGAGGCUGUUAGCUAGCAGCUAUCAUUGGGAUUUGCAUCUUUUAAAGUAAAAAUUUGUGGAGUGCUCUUCCUCAUUUACAGAGGAACAUUUCAUUCUCUUAUUAAGCUACAGAAGAGAGUUUUGGAAAGCCUUUGUAUGUCAGCUUUUUCCAGUUCUGGUUCUGUAAACUGUUCUCUACUGUUAAAUAUCUAUUUUCCAGGGGAUCCCUUACAGUCCUUUUUUAAAAAAUAAUUUCCUGAUGCUCAGAAAGGAAUAUAGGUACUGGCUGGGCACACUGCUAAACCGGCAAGUUAAUUUGCUAGAAAAUGAGGUGAAAUAUGUUCGUGUAGGGAUUCCUUCAUCUCUCCUUGCAUGUGUAACAAGGAGAAGGUGGUAAGCUUGGAGUUAACGAACUCCUGAGUUCGUAUGCCAUCUGGCAGUGGCGUGUAUCCAGAACAAUCCAUUUAAAAAUCUAAUCUAAUUUUUCCAAAAGGCAAAUACCAAAAAAAUCAGAAGGCUAGCCCAUGUCUGAACUGCUUUUUUGCUUCUGUCUAUAACCUAGGUGGUUCUCUUUUUUUGUUUCGCUCUGUUUCUGUCUGUUUCACACUUAUCCACCAAAACAGGAAUUCCUUGAAAUUGGUACUCUUGAGUCUUGAUUGGCUAUAGCUUUGCUGCUUGUCUUUAGAGCUCCCUGCUUUCCCACUAGCUUUAGGUUUGAAUCCCAGUAACUAUCAAGAAAUCCAUAUUCUCUCUAGGUGAUUUGCUCCUUCUUAUAGUUGAAGGUAUUGUAUGAUCUUUCCUCAUCUCUACUGUAUUGCUGAUCUCAUCUUCUAGCAAAAUGGCAAGGGCAUUCAGAAUGAGGGAUGGACAUUGGGAGGAGGGCUUGUCAUUCCUGUCUGCUGUGAUAGGACAUGGGUAGUAGCUGGCCUCUUCUGGCCACUUCUGCAUCUUCUUCAGUAGUGCGCAGAUGGAAGUGUGAAUAUUGCUAUCUGUAUAUUAACAAGGCUUCUCUAUCUGUAUAUUAACAUGUGUGCAUAUGCCCUCUGUGUCAUCAUAACCAAGUUAAAUUGAGAGUGUUUGCCUUGUUGCUUUUCCAGCAGUAUACUGUGUUAAGUGAGGGUGAGUUCCAGGUCAGAUCAAACCAGCAGUUCAUUUUCUUGUAUUCCCUGUCUUUUAGGACAAUUCACUGCUACUGGCAGAUCAUUCCAGGGACUCUGGACAUACUACAAAAAGAAUACCAACUGUUGAACGAUAUGAAAGUUUCAAAGCUACAAUUAACAACAAUGUAAAAACUAUCAAAUAGAGCUAAGUAACGGUUACUGAGGGCUGUUGCUUUUCAUCUGGAACAGUGUCCCUUUUCCAAGUGAGAAACAUUUUGGGCUGCUCAUAUAAUGAAGAUACAUGGAUACUGCACCUCAUGGCUGAUGCAUUAAACUUGUGUGCAACUUCAGCAUGAGCUUUUUAUUAGACCAGGAUUGAAUCUUUAUUUUUUAAAUUUUGGUGGGUGGAAAGAUCAGCUAGUCAAAUGUCAUGCCUUUGCUCAUUCCCACCAAGUUUGUUUUCUGUAGGGUUGAUUCUGCUGGGAAGCAGUGCUUUGUUGUUGUUUUUCCUGCUUUCCUACAGCAUCUAGGUGUAUUGGGCACUUCUUGGGUUUCUCCAGUCUGUCUCAAACUUGCUUUGCUCCAAAGUUUUGGAAAAGAUCACAGAAAAGCCUGGAUGGCUGCCAAGUGAGCAGGAAAGUUCGGAUUUCUCCAGUCCCACCCGUGCUGUAGCCAUUUCUCCCAUGGCAGCCAUUUGUUCUCCCUGCUACCUAGAGGCCAGUUUGGUUUUGGUUUUUAAAAUGGCCAUUGAAGAUCAUAUUGAUAUAACAAUAUGUGUAACGGGUUCUCUUCGUUACCAGCUUUCACUUAUAAAAAAUCCAUUUCUUACCCAUUUCAUUUUCAAAGCCAAAUCGAAAGGAACAAGAGGAAAUACAAUGAAAUUAAAGAAAAAAGUAAAGAUUCAGAAGGCUUUUAUGGCCAGAAUCAACUGGCUGUUAACGGUUUUCUGAGCUAUGUGGUGGUCUGGUGGUUUUAGCUCCUAAUGUUUCGCCCACAUCUGUGGUUGGCAUCUUCAGUGGCAUGUCACCGUAAGAUCUGUUCUUACAGUGACAUACAUCUAAAGAUGCCAGCCACUGAUGUGGGCUAAACAUUAGGAGCUGAAACCACUAGACCAUGACCAUACAGCCUGGAAAUCCGCAACAGCCAGAUUCAGAGACACUUUAAGACACUUCCUUAAAAUAUUGUGUUGAUAUGAGUUGUCACUUUAAAAAGAGAACUGGAAAGGUCCUGAUGGUGACCACUGCUAGGAAACUGAGCAGGGAAAUUAUAGGGAAAUCUCCUAUGUGGAAGUUCCAUGCCCCUGCAACAACAAGGAAACUUCCUGUGAGGUUGCUGCUUUCAUCUACAAGACUGUUCUUGCACAAAGUACGGCAGCAACAGAUUCCAAGUUAUCUUUUUGUUUGUAAAGACUUCAAAGAAUCUGCAGGUAUAUCUGGCAGAUUCUUUUAAAAGCCUGAUGGCUUGUCUUGGUAAUAGAUAACUGUAUGUUAAAAUUGAAGUGUCAAUUGACCCUUGUUAUACUGUGAAGAAGCGCCUCAACCAAAUCAUGAUAUUUGAUGUAGUAUAGCACUGUCAGAGUAUCUUCUGAGAUGGAUGCAGACUGUAUAGGGUUAGGGAAAAUGUGUUAUUUCAAUGAUAAAAUACUGUAACUAGAGCCCUGUGAAAAUGUUAUAUCCCUGCACAAAAAGCAAUAUUUCUUGGUUUUCUGCAAAUGCAUGCUUAUAUGCAUACACCCUCUCCAGUUAUUAUGAAGGGAAAAGGAACUACAUUUGAGUAGGAAGCAAAAAAAUGUUUACUUGCAUCCCUGUGUGGGGCCUUCGUGCCCUCUAAUUCAGCAUCGCUUGUGCCUAAUAGUUCAAUGCAGCUAUUCUCAGUCUUCUGAACUAUACUGAGUCUUUUGGACUAUCCUCUGUUCCUGUGAAGAGAGAGGUUACUAUUGCAAAGUCUUGGACAUCUUUCCAUGGAGGAAAUUCUGUUUGCCUAUAAUAACUUUCAAGACAAGAAUUUUGACAUUUUCCUGUUUCAGACACUAAAUGUAUUAGACUUGCCAGCCCAAUUCAAAACUGUUCCUCUUUGGGAUAUUUAUUGCUAAUACUGACUUUUCAUCAACUUAGUUUAACAAAGUUGAACUUCAGUGUUUUCCGGUGUUGUUAAAAUUCACUGCAUUCUUUCAAAUAACACUAUGUGUAUGAUUAGUUCCAGAAUGUAGAGACUAGAUAAUGAAGUUAGUAGAAAAAAAUGAAUUUAGGGAAAUGUUAUUUUCCUUAGGAUGUGUGAAUUCUUAUCUGCAAAAUGGUGUUAAUAAACAGCACUUAAGUAUUUUUCA